GCGGGUGUUCGGCUACAUCACUGGGGCGCCAUGGUGCCUGGAGCUGGGCAGUUUUCUCAUCAGAGUGGGGACUGAUGAUGAUUAUUCCCCACCUUCUAAGAGACAAAGACCAACGAGCCACCACAGCCACCAGUCCCAGAACCCGCCAAUGCUGGGGAACGGAAAAUGAGGGAGUUCAACUCUGGCCCUCACAAUCCAGUGGAGGAGACGCAACUCAUCUGCCUCUGUCCCUCUGGGCACGCCUCAUGCCAGGUGCAUCUGUGGACAGGGGCCAUGCUCCUGGGCUUCCAAAGUUGGAGAAAGCUGCCAGGCUCAGGUCUGAAGGCCAGAAUUCUACAGUAAGUCCUACUGAGUCAAGGUGGGAGCAGGGUCGGUAGCUUCCGAGGCUCUGCGGGAGAAUCUGUUUCCUGGCCGUAGAGGUGGCCUGCACUCCUCAGCCUGUGCUGCCCGUCUCGAAUGACUGGAGUUUCCUGCUUCUGUCACUACACCUCCCACCCUCUCCAUCACCUGCUCUGCUCUUACAAGGAUCCGAAGAAAUGGAAUCAUCGUAUCGCUGAUCUACGUAAACAAACUGAAGAAUUGUCUGAAAGAAAAUAUGACAUGAACUUAUGAAUUCAACAGGUGAAGAUUUACAACUUGAUAAAUCAACUUUGUCAGCUCGAGCUGUAAAAGCCAAAGGUCCGGUGAUGAUCCCAUACCCUUUUUUCCAGUCUCAUGUUGAAGAUUUUUAUGUAGAAGGCCUUCCCAAAGGAAUUUUUUUUUUUUUUUUUUGAGAUGGAGUUUUCACUCUUAUCGCCCAGGCUGGGGUGCAAUGGCGCAACCUUGCUGGUCACUGCAACCUCUGCCUCCUGGGUUCAAGAAAUUCUCCUGCCUUAGCCUCCCAAGUCACUGGGAUUACAGGUGCCCACCACCACACCAGGCUAAUUUUUGUAUUUUUAGUGGAGAUGCGGUUUCACCAUGUUGGCCGGGCCAGUCUCGAACUCCUGACGUCAAGUGAUCUUCCCGCCUCGACUCCUGAUAUCAAGUGAUCUUCCCGCCUCGGCCUCCCAGAGUGCUGAGAUUACAGACGUGAACCCAUGCCUGGCCAGGAAUUUUGUUUUUUAGGAAGGCUUUCUACUAAUGGAAUUCCUGGCCUUGAGAGGAUGUUACUUUAGAAGGAAAGGAUUUUUUUGUUAUUAAAAGAGCCACCUAAGCUGAAGAUUCCCUUGAGAACAAGUACUGUCCCUAGUUUCCCAGUGCUGGAAUAUAGAAAAUGGAUGGACAAGUAAAUCCCACUCAGCACCCAUAGUCCAGGCAUGGGGACCUCAACACACCUGAGCCCCAGACAUCACCUUUCAUUCUGGACCUACCAUGAAAGACUUCUGAAUCCAGGAAGAGAAACUGACUGGGCAACAUGUUAUUCAGCAGAGAUGGCAUCUUGCUCUGUUGCUUAGGCUACAGUACAGUGACAUGAUCAUGGUUCACUGUAGCCUCAAACUCCUGGGCUCAAGUGGUUCUCUCACUUCAGUCUCCCAAGUAGCUGGGACUACAGACAUGUGCCACCAUGUCCAGGUAAUUUUUUAUCAUAGAGACGAGAUCUUGCCAUGUUGCUCCGACUGGGCUCAAAACUCCUGACCUCAAGUGAUCCUCCUGCCUCAGCCUCCCAAAGUGCUGGGAUUACAGGCAGGCAUGACCACCUGUGCCCAGCCCCCUAUUAUUAUUAUUUUAAAUAAUAGCUUUAUUAAAAUAUUCACAUACCAUUCACUUUAUUUAUUGAAAUCUGCAAUUCAGUAGGUUUUAGAAUAUUCACAGAGCUGUGCAUCGAUCACCACAGUCACUUUUAGAACCUUUCAUUACCCUAUAGAGAAAUCCAUACCCCUUAGCCACUACCUCCUACUCUCCCCACCUACCUUUGCCCCCAGCCUUAGGCAACCAUUGAUUAAUUUUUUUGUCACUAUAGAUUUGCCUAAUCUGGACAAAUAGAAUUGUACAAUAUGUGAUCUUUUGUGGCUUUUCUUCCCUCUUAGCACAGUGUUUUCAAAGUUCCUUUAUGUCAUAGUGUGUAUCAAUAUUUCAUUCCUUCUAUGGCAGUAUUCCAUGGUAGAGACACACUGCAUUUUGUUUAUCUGUUCAUCAGUUGGUGGAUAUUUGGGUUGUUUCCAUGUAUUCCAUGUAUUGGUCAUUAUGAAUAAUGCUGCUAUGAAGAUUGUUGUACAAGUUUUUGUGUGGACAUAUAUUUUUAUUUUUCUGGGAUAUAUGCCUAGGAGUGAAAUUGUUGCAUUAUAGGAUGACUGUACAUUUAGCCUUUUGAGAAACUGCCAGACUGUUUUCUAACGUGGCUAUACCAGUUGGGUGCAAUGGCUCACACCUGUAAUCCCAGCUACUCAGGAGGCUCAGCUAGGAGGAUGGCUUGAGCCCGUGAAUUCAAGACCAGCCUGGGCAAGAUAGUGAAACCCCGUCUUGAUUUUUUAAAAAUCCAAUUAAAAUGACAAGAAAAGAAAUACCCAAACAAAAUGGUUACACAAUUUUAUGUUCCCACCAGUAAUGUAUGUGGGUUCCAAUUCCUCCACAUCUUCACUGACAUUUUUUUUUUCUAGAUAGGGGCUUGCUCUGUCUCUCAGGCCGCAGUGCAAUGAUGCCAUCACAGUUCACUGCAGCCGUGACCUCCCAGGCACAAGUGAUUCUCUCAUCUCAGCCUCCUGGGUAGCUGAAAAUUACAGGUGUACGCCACCAUGCCUGGCUAAUUUUUAGAUUUUUCUGUAGUGGUGGGAUUUUACCAUGUUGCCCAGGCUGGUCUCAUACUCCUGGCCUCAAGUGAUCUGCCCACCUCAGCCUCCCUAAGUUCUGGAAUUACAGGCUGCCACCAUGCCCGGCCUUCACCAACAUUUGCCAUUAUCUGUUUUUUUUUUCUUCCUUUAUACCUUAAAGCAGUAUAAGAACAAGUGUCUUCAAUUAUAGGAAACAGUAUAAUCCCAGGGCUUUGGGAGGCUAAGACAGGAAGAUGUCUUGAUGCCAGGAGUUUUUUUUGUUGUUGUUGUUUUUGUUUUUGUUAUUGUUGUUGUUGUUUUUGACAGUCUCGCUCUGUCACCCAGGGUGGAGUGCAGUGAUGGGGUCCACUGCAACCUCCACCUCCCAGGUUCAAGUGAUUCUCCUGCCUCAGCCUCCCGAGUAGGUGAGACUACAGGUACACGCCACUACUGCCCAGCUAAUUUUUGUAUUUUUGAUAGAGUCAGAGUUUCACCGUGUUGGCCAGGCUGGUCUCGAACUCCAGACUUCAGGUGAUUUGCCUGCCUUAGCUUCCCAAAGUGCUGCGAUUACAAGCAUGAGCCACCAUGCCCAGCCUGAUGCCAGGAGUUUUAGACUAGCCUGGGCAACCUAGCAAGACCUUGUCUCUACAGAAUAUUUAAAAAUUAGCCAAAUGUGGUGGUGCCUGUGUAUAGUCUCUCUCCCUCUUUUUUUUUUCUAACUUUUUGUGACAUGGUCUGGCUCUGUCACCCAGGCUGAAGUGCAGUGGUGUGAUCAUGGCUCACUGCAGCCUGAAACUCCUGGGAUCAAGUGAUCAAUCCUCCCACCUCAUCCUACCAAGUAGUAGGGACCACAGGUGUAUGCCACCCAGGUCUUGCUAUGUUGUCCAGGCUGGUCUUGAGCUCCUGGCCUCAAGCAAUCCUCUCACCUUGGCCCCCCACAGUGCAAGGAUUACAGGUAUGAGCCACCAUGCCUGGCCCCCUACCCUGCCUACUGAGAACCAAAGGAAGGAUCCAAAUUCUCCUUAGCUCAACUCGAGCCAUUUCCUGAUUGCUUCAUCAGCGAGGAGCUGGUUAUUGGGCUGUCCAGGCCUCCCAAGCAGCACAGAAAUGAGGUGAAGGAGUUUUCCUGUUGCUCCACUCUGUAAGGAGUUGGAGGGUGAUGUUUACUCGUUUGCAGAGAGAGAUGCCUUGUAGGCACCUCAGGAUGGAGAGGGUCCUGAUUCCAAUGUCCUUUUUUUCUUCAGAAACAGGACCUUGCCCUGUCACUCAGGAUGGAGUUCAGUGGUCCUAUCAUGGCUCAUUAUAGCCUCAAACUCCCAGGCUCAAGCAAUCCUACCAUGUCAGCCUUCCCAGUAGCUGGGACUACAG
rnacentral:lncRNA from 1 species